rnacentral:ncRNA from 1 species
GUUCGCCCGUGUAACCACGGUCAGACUUGCAUCACAUGUACAAAUUUACGUCCGAGCCGGCGUCCGAGAAGACGAUCUAACUUGAUCAUUUAGAGGAAGUAAAAGUCGUAACAAGGUUUCCGUAGGUGAACCUGCGGAAGGAUCAUUA